GCGGCCGCUCUGGUUGUUCCCGCCGGAGGCACUGCUAUCGGAGUUCGAUUAAGCCAUGCGAGUCGAGAGGUGCAAGACCUCGGCAUACUGCUCAGUAACACGUGGACAACCUAACCUAUGGAGGGGGAUAACCCCGGGAAACUGGGGAUAAUACCCCAUAGACUAUGGAUGCUGGAAUGCUCUGUAGUUGAAAGGUCCGCCGCCAUAGGAUGGGUCUGCGGCCGAUUAGGUUGUUGUUGGGGUAACGGCCCAACAAGCCUGUAAUCGGUACGGGUUGUGGGAGCAAGAGCCCGGAGAUGGAUUCUGAGACACGAAUCCAGGCCCUACGGGGCGCAGCAGGCGCGAAAACUUUACAAUGCGAGAAAUCGUGAUAAGGGAACCCCGAGUGCCCGUAAAUUCGGGCUGUCCGUCAGUGAAAAUAACUGGCGAAGAAAGGGCCGGGCAAAACCGGUGCCAGCCGCCGCGGUAUAUACCGGCGGCUCGAGUGGUGGCCGCUAUUACUGGGCUUAAAGCGUCCGUAGCUGGGUUGUUAAGUCUCCUGGGAAAUCCACCGGCUCAACCGAUGGGCGUUCAGGAGAUACUGGCAACCUAGGGACCGGGAGAGGUGAGAGGUACUCCAGGGGUAGGAGUGAAAUCCUGUAAUCCUUGGGGGACCACCUGUGGCGAAGGCGUCUCACCAGAACGGCUCCGACAGUGAGGGACGAUAAGCUGGGGGAGCAAACCGGAUUAGAUACCCGGGUAGUCCCAGCUGUAAACGAUGCGCGUCAGGUGUAUCGGUGACCACGAGUCAUCUCGAGGUGCCGAAGAGAAAUCGUGAAACGUGCCGCCUGGGAAGUACGGUCGCAAGGCUGAAACUUAAAGGAAUUGGCGGGGGAGCACCACAACGGGUGGAGCCUGCGGUUUAAUCGGACUCAACGCCGGGAAGCUCACCGGAUAAGACAGCUGGAUGAUAGCCGGGCUGAAGACUCUGCUUGACUAGCUGAGAGGAGGUGCAUGGCCGUCGUCAGUUCGUACUGUGAAGCAUCCUGUUAAGUCAGGCAACGAGCGAGACCC
rnacentral:rRNA from 1 species